UUUAUUUUAUUAACAUCAUGCAUUAUACCUUUUGAAUGGUAAUACAAUAAUGAUACGAACACAAGUUACUAAAUUACACAUUAUAAUCAACCUAAUAUUCUUUUUGGCAUAUUUUUGUUCUAAAUUAAUUUUUAUGUUUUGCUUAAAAUUUUCGUAAUUUCUUCUUCUAAGCCUUAGGUGGAGCAAGCCUUGGUGACUCGACAAAGUGAAGGGUUUGGUCUCCAGAAAGUUUUCUUCCAAGGUUCAAGAACGGAUCUUCACAAUUCAAAUUGGUGAGAAACAGUUUGAAUUUUGAGGAUCCGUUCUUGAACCUUGCAAGAAAACUUUCUGAAGACCAAACCCUUCACUUUGUCGAAUCAUCAAGGCUUGCUCCUCAAAAUCCUCACAAUAAAAAAAAAGAGAGAUAUAAGAAGAUCAAUCUAGAAACGUACUACGUACAAGUAAAAGAAGGAAAUGACCAUUCAAGAUUUGCAAGAGCUAGAGGAGAGAGAGAGAUGUGUAAGUUGUGAGGUAGAUUGUAGAGAAAAAUAGGGUUUUUAUAGAUAAAAUCGAUCAGGAGAGUUAACAUACGAAGAAAGAGUUUGGAAAAGCACUGCGCACUAGUUCUUUGGAUGGUAUUAUCUUUCGUAUCAUUGACAGCAAAUUAUUCUUCUAUUUCAUUUUCUUAGGAUUUAUUUU
rnacentral:sRNA from 1 species